GCCAUAUACCUUCUGAGAGAGAAGGAGACAUUGAGAAUGCAGAGGAUGUCAGCACUUCAAAAACAACUGGAAAGAAAAGAAAAAGGUUCGGUGACUUUGGAUGACACUGACAGAUAUGUGUGUUGCAGGACCACGCAGACCUUUACUGUACUGUUGCACAGCUGCCCCACCCUUACAAAAUUAUGCAGUCGUAUCCCGAUGGAUCCGAAACGCUGA
rnacentral:lncRNA from 1 species